CCUACGGGGGGCAGCAGUGGGGAAUAUUGCACAAUGGGGGAAACCCUGAUGCGGCGACGCCGCGUGAGUGAAGAAGUAUUUCGGUAUGUAAAGCUCUAUCAGCAGGGAAGAAAUAGCUACCUUUGGGUCGCCAGACGGUACCCGACUAAGAAGCCCCGGCUAACUACGUGCCACCAGCCGCGGUAAUACGUAGGGGGCAAGCGUUAUCCGGAUUUACUGGGUGGAAAGGGAGCGUAGACGGCAGCACAAGUCUGAAGUGAAAUGCCGGGGCUUAACCCCGGAACUGCUUUGGAAACUGUGCAGCUAGAGUGCAGGAGAGGUAAGUGGAAUUCCUAGUGUAGCGGUGAAAUGCGUAGAUAUUAGGAGGAACACCAGUGGCGAAGGCGGCUUACUGGACUGUAACUGACGUUGAGGCUCGAAAGCGUGGGGAGCAAACAGGAUUAGAUACCCCAGUAGUC
rnacentral:rRNA from 1 species